CAUAAAAUCUAGGGAUGAAAGCAGGGGUUCGCAAGACCUUGCGCGAAUGGAGCGGCCGAUGGCAGAUUAGGUAGUUGGUGAGGUAAAGGCUCACCAAGCCGUCGAUCUGUAGAUGGUCUGAGAGGACGACCAGCCACACUGGGACUGAGACACGGCCCAGACUCAUACGGGAGGCAGCAGUGGGGAAUUUUGGACAAUGGGCGAAAGCCUGAUCCAGCCAUGCCGCGUGCAGGAUGAAGGCCUUCGGGUUGUAAACUGCUUUUGUACGGAACGAAACGGCCUUUUCUAAUAAAGAGGGCUAAUGACGGUACCGUAAGAAUAAGCACCGGCUAACUACGUGCCAGCAGCCGCGGUAAUACGUAGGGUGCAAGCGUUAAUCGGAAUUACUGGGCGUAAAGCGUGCGCAGGCGGUUAUGUAAGACAGUUGUGAAAUCCCCGGGCUCAACCUGGGAACUGCAUCUGUGACUGCAUAGCUAGAGUACGGUAGAGGGGGAUGGAAUUCCGCGUGUAGCAGUGAAAUGCGUAGAUAUGCGGAGGAACACCGAUGGCGAAGGCAAUCCCCUGGACCUGUACUGACGCUCAUGCACGAAAGCGUGGGGAGCAACAGGG
rnacentral:rRNA from 1 species